UGGAAAACUAGGACGCCACAUCAUGCGGACUAAAGAGGAAAUAGACAUUAAAGGCCUGCAUCUGUGAUGGUAUAGGGCUGGGUUAGUGCCAAAGGCAUGGUAACUUAUACAUCUGCGAAGGCACCAUUAUGCUAAAAGGUGCAUAAAGACAACAAAAGCUGCCAUACCAGGAUUUCUACAGGUGUCUCCGAGUGCAGCUAGUCCUGUGCAUUAAUGGAUGUAGAAUGCGGUGUGAUGCAUGCAGUUUGUCUACGUGCUCCAGGCAAGCUGGGAACGCCCCCCUGCUGAUGCCUCCCUAACAUCGAUCCCGCAGGAGUCAGGUGCACAGGCCUCGCUAUGAUUUAUGAGGAAACCCGCGCACUCUGCUCUUCAGAAAAGCUCCGAGCAGGCUCCUGACUUCAUCUUCUCCCAAGGAAUGAAGAAACGUAGGCAAAAAGGGGGCUGAGCUUCACUUCGUAAUAGACAUUCGAAGACAGCACACGCUCAUGUCCAAGACGGAUUUAAGCUGUACCACAUACAAACAGGAAGGAUUGUCUCAGGAGUGAUUUGUUUGAGGAUUCA